ACAAACACUAUGAUUUCCGACGCAGUGGCUCGAGGCACUUACCUGCGACCGUUAUUUGCACUUCCUGCUUCUUCUUCUUCUUCUUCUUCAUCUGCACCCACAUUCCCUCCUGCUCUUCCUCCUCUGUCCUGUCAGACGUGCGGCUGCUUCUCCUGUGACUCUGCCCGUGACUCAACCUCUUUGUCUCCCCAGCAUCUCAACGCCAUCAGUGGGAUCGGAACCGGCCGGCGCCGGGUGACUCACUCCCCUCGGCUCCCGUCGCUCGCGUGCCCGCACAAAGCCGGACGUGCGGCGAGCACCUAUGUGAUUACGCGCACAAAAGGAAUCUGUGUACGUGUUUAUUCUGGGCGCCCACGCGCGCGUCGUCGCUCGAGCGCUUCUUGCCAGAUGUCAGAAUGCUUUUUUCUGCCUAUAACACGCAGGCUGUUGCUGCUGAUAGCCCCCAUUGAAGGUGCCGGCGCGUGGACUCCUCUGCUGACAUCCCGUCCAUUCAGCGCCGCCGCUUCGUCACCGCAGCGGCUCCUUUCACGGAGCCUGGCCGUGUUUUGCGCUUUUCUGUCAAUGCGGGCGGUUCGGAGCCAGUGAUUCCAUAUGUGUCAGCAGAGGAGGAAUUCAGCGGUGGGUGAUUGUAAACCAUAAUUGCGUGAACACAAAGCCUCAGCUCUGUUCCCUCGGCGGGAACGGCGUUACUGGGUGAUGUGACAGGCGCCUGCGCCGUGGUCUCCAUUAGUUUGGAUCAUUCCGAUACACAACAACAGGCUGUUUUUGUUCUGUCCAUGGCUCACGGUGAAUCUGUGGCGCUGGUCUGCGUCCGGGCCCUUGUGUCCUGCGCUGUGUCACUCACAGCUCCUCUGGUUACAGGCCGGCCCCUCGUGGGGGCCCCCGGGGUCCGCCGGCUAAAUUAGCUUCAGCAGCGCCAGGCCUGCGAGUAGCAGGACCUCAGCGCUCUGCUUGGAUUACACAACUUUAACCUUUCUUUUUGUCAGGUCCUCCCACGGCCUUUGAAGUUGCUCAUGGCGUCUCCUUCCCUGCACCGCCCGCCUCUGGAUGAAUGAUCUGCCCCUCAGUUGUACUCGCUUUCUGCUACCUCCCCCCUCCUCCCCCUCCUCCUACUCCUCUCCCUCUAAGGCCGGCGCGGCAGCAGCGCGUCUGAGAGGCUGAAUGAAAAGGAAUGCUGGGACGCUCAUGUGCAGUCAUGCUCAGUGCGUCGCAUCAAAACAGUGUUGGGAAAUGCACGCUCAUCACUGCGCGCCAAUCUCACGUUCAAAUUACCGGCCGGCCCCCGAACGUGGACUGGAGGCACCAAACUGACCAGUUACGUCAGAAUCAAACCUGGAGCCAUGGCCAGAAUCUGCAGGUUCUCAUCUCAGCGCCUCUGUUCCCGUGGAAGAGGGAGAAGACGAGGAGAGGGAGGGGCACUUCAUUAUCAGCCAACAUGUAGGCUCAUGCCACUCAGCUCUACCCGACCAGCUGUUGUCAUGGCAGCGGCUUGUCAUCCGCGUCUCACCUUGAAUGAAAGGAGACCUGCGGGACAUGCGCCUUCCCCACGGAGCAUGCGUGCGGAGUGUAGUGGAAGUGCGUCAGCCCAGCGAGCUGAUAGAGACGCACCCAGUGCCACCUGCGUUACUGUGUGUUUUCACAGGAGAUGGCGAAAUGGGGAAGUCCCCUGCUUCGAAGGCAACAAAAGCAACUCUAGCCUGCCAGCUGUUCCCGAGCCUGAAAUGUGCUUGACUUGGCCAAGGAGGGCCAGUCCUGUUUCAGUGUUGGGCCUCAAAGAGUCAUAAAUCUGCAGGGUUUCAUUGUCUCAUUGGUCAAAGGUAAGUGUUGGUUAAUCAGUCAAUGCAACAAUCGUGCAGCAAAGUGUUCAAUAAGAAACGUACUGUAAAUUUGAAUCAUUGUCUAUGAAGGGUGCAUCUGUCAACAGCAUGUUGACCAUAAACAUAUAAAGGAAUAAAGGCGUUUAAAGAAAGGUCUAUUCUAUUACACAAUGAUGACACGCUAAUAGGCCUGGAACAAUAAACAAGUGAAGGUAAAGUUUAUGAAUCACUGUGCGACACUGUGCUUUGAGAUUUUGUACUUAUGUAACCUUCCCACGACCAGAGUGCAACCAUCUGAAGCUCCUGACUGUGCUAUUUCAGGAGCCGCAGCUCUAGAUUGGGAGAAACUGCCUGCAAGGGCUCACACACGUCGAAGCCUGUGAACCAUGAUGUAAACAAAAAGCCAGUCACUGUGUGAAUGAAGUGGCUGAAGUUAGAAGUUUGAAUGUGAUUCCGUUUGAUUUGGACUUCAGUAGGAAGCUCUGAGUUGGCCUCAGCUCACUGCCAUAAAACAUGGGGCACUUGGUGCUGCAAUCAGAUGAUCCAAUAAAAUACACAAAAAUAAAGCACUCGAUUGUAUUGGAUGCUGCUCAUUGAAGGUUAAAAUAACUUGCACAGCACCUCCCUUGUUUGCAUAGGAUGAAUUGCAGUCUGGAUUUUUUAUAGGUCGC